rnacentral:rRNA from 1 species
CAGCAGCCACGGUAAUACAGAGGUCUCAAGCGUUGUUCGGAUUCAUUGGGCGUAAAGGGUGCGUAGGCGGUCGGGUAAGUCGGAUGUGAAAUCCUGGGGCUCAACCUCAGAACUGCAUUCGAUACUGCUUGGCUAGAGGACUGGAGAGGAGACUGGAAUUCACGGUGUAGCAGUGAAGUGCGUAGAUAUCGUGAGGAAGACCAGCGGCGAAGGCGGGUCUCUGGACAGUUCCUGACGCUGAUGCACGAAGGCCAGGGGAGCAAACAGGAUUAGAUACCCGCGUAGUCCCUGUCUCUUAUAC